GAUGAAGACGCAGCGAAAUGCGAUAAGUAGUGUGAAUUGCAGAAUUCAGUGAAUCAUCGAAUCUUUGAACGCACAUUGCGGCCAUAGGUAUUCCUUUGGCCAUGCCUGUUCGAGCGUCAUUUACACCCUCAAGCCUAGCUUGGUGUUGGGCGCCUGUCCCGCCGUUUUCGCGCGCGGACUCGCCUCAAAGUCAUUGGCGGCGGUCGUGCCGGCCCCCUCGCGCAGCACAUUUGCGCUUCUCGGAGGCCCGGCGGAUCCGCGCUCCAGCAAGACCUUUCACGACUUGACCUCGGAUCAGGUAGGGAUACCCGCUGAACUUAAGCAUAUCAAUAAGCGGAGGA
rnacentral:misc_RNA from 1 species